rnacentral:rRNA from 1 species
GACGAACGCUGGCGGCGUGCUUAACACAUGCAAGUCGAACGGAAAGGCCCUGCUUUUGUGGGGUGCUCGAGUGGCGAACGGGUGAGUAACACGUGAGUAACCUGCCCUUGACUUUGGGAUAACUUCAGGAAACUGGGGCUAAUACCGGAUAGGAGCUCCUGCUGCAUGGUGGGGGUUGGAAAGUUUCGGCGGUUGGGGAUGGACUCGCGGCUUAUCAGCUUGUUGGUGGGGUAGUGGCUUACCAAGGCUUUGACGGGUAGCCGGCCUGAGAGGGUGACCGGCCACAUUGGGACUAAGAUACUGCCCAGACUCCUACGGGAGGCAGCAGUGGGGAAUAUUGCACGAUGGGCGGAAGCCUGAUGCAGCAACGCCGCGUGCGGGAUGACGGCCUUCGGGUUGUAAACCGCUUUCGCCUGUGACGAAGCGUGAGUGACGGUAAUGGGUAAAGAAGCACCGGCUAACUACGUG